UCUGGUGACUAUAGCAAGGAGGUCACACCUGUUCCCAUGACGAACACAGAAGUUAAGCUCCUUAGAGUCGAUGUUAGUCGAACUUACGUUACGCUAGAG
rnacentral:rRNA from 1 species